UACGGAGGAUGCGAGCGUUAUCCGGAUUUAUUGGGUUUAAAGGGUGCGUAGGCGGACUGUCAAGUCAGCGGUAAAAUUGAGAGGCUCAACCUCUUCCCGCCGUUGAAACUGGUGGUCUUGAGUGGAUGAGAAGUACGCGGAAUGCGUGGUGUAGCGGUGAAAUGCAUAGAUAUCACGCAGAAUUCCGAUUGCGAAGGCAGCGUACCGGCAUCCAACUGACGCUGAGGCACGAAAGCGUGGGGAUCAAACAGG
rnacentral:rRNA from 1 species